UCCGCGUUGUGAGUCUAACACCAGUUGUAAACUUUCUACAACCGGCAGCGCUGGAUCCCUUGGCACGUCAUUCGAUGAAGACCGUUGCAAAUUGCGAUAAAGUGAUGUGAUGCGCAAGUCCACCACUUAUACGUGAAUCAUCGAGUUGUUGAACG
rnacentral:rRNA from 1 species